rnacentral:sRNA from 1 species
UGCUGCUCAUUCAACUGGUUAUGAUGGUAUGGUGAAGGUCAAUAUCAUGCUCAUAACGCCCCGAAUGAUGCCGAAAGAUAAGGUGCCUAUCGUCCAGCUUUAUUGAUAACUGCCUUUGGGCUUUAUCACACAUCGGGCGACACGUUGAGUGAGGCACCGCCUA